AGCGAACGCUGGCGGCAUGCUUAACACAUGCAAGUCGCACGACCGGGUUUCGGCCUGGGAGUGGCGGACGGGUGAGUAUCGCGUAGGGAUUUGUCGUUGGGUGGGGGACAACCUUGGGAAACUGGGGCUAAUACCGCAUGACGCCUGUGGGCCAAAGCUCGAGAGGGCGCCUGACGAGGAGCCUGCGUCCGAUUAGGUAGUUGGUUGGGUGAUGGCUGACCAAGCCUGCGAUCGGCAGCUGGUCUGAGAGGAUGGCCAGCCACACUGGGACUGAGACACGGCCCAGACUCCGUACGGGAGGCAGCAGGUGGGGAAUAUUGGACAAUGGGCNCAAGCCUGAUCCAGCAAUGCCGCGUGGAUGAAG
rnacentral:rRNA from 1 species